UACAGAAUGUGUUUUCCUGUAGCUUUUUUCCGAAGAAGCUUUAAGAUAAAAUUGAAAUCAAACCUUAGAUAUAUCUUUUUAGCUUUCUCUUUUCACCUCCCAAUAUGUCAUGCGUAUGCUAGCAGAUUGGGAAGCUUUUCUCAAAAACUUAGCUUUUUUCCAUCUCUUUUGAGUAUUCCACUUCCUUAUUGUGAGAUAUUUAGGCUGACCAUAGUAUUUUCUCUUUUUAUCAUUGUAUGUAAUGUUAUUUAUCAUUCUUAUAUAUAUUAUUUAGCCUGAUCGUGGAUGAUUUCUUCAAAAUUCACUAACAGAAAGAGCAUCAUUAAGUUGAAGGAUAUAUACCAUGAUCCGCAAUGCCAGUUUACUCCGAAAUAUACUAGAUCUCUGAGCAUUUGAAAGAAUAAUACAGAGUUUUCAAAUACUAUUUUACUUAAAACGUUGGUGCUAAAAUAUAUAUAUGAUAAAAUGUAGGUGAAAGAAAUGGGCUCAGAAUACUCCAAGAUUUUGUUGUGUGAAGUAAAAACCGUUGCUCUUGUUUCUACUUCAAUUUAACUGCCUAAAGAAUGCCUCUCUUCUGAUUAGAGUAAUUUCAGAAUCCCUCUGAGAACGGAAGAGC